AUUGAACGCUGGCGGCAGGCCUAACACAUGCAAGUCGAGCGGAUGAGGGGAGCUUGCUCCCUGAUUUAGCGGCGGACGGGUGAGUAAUGCCUAGGAAUCUGCCUGGUCGUGGGGGAUAACGUUCCGAAAGGAACGCUAAUACCGCAUACGUCCUACGGGAGAAAGCAGGGGACCUUCGGCCCUUGCGCUAUCAGAUGAGCCUAGGUCGGAUUAGCUAGUUGGUGAGGUAAUGGCCCACCAAGGCGACGAUCCGUAACUGGUCUGAGAGGAUGAUCAGUCACACUGGAACUGAGACACGGUCCAGACUGCUACGGGAGGCAGCAGUGGGGAAUAUUGGACAAUGGGCGAAAGCCUGAUCCAGCCAUGCCGCGUGUGUGAAGAAGGUCUUCGGAUUGUAAAGCACUUUAAGUUGGGAGGAAGGGCUGCUGGUUAAUACCCUGCAGUUUUGACGUUACCAACAGAAUAAGCACCGGCUAACUUCGUG
rnacentral:rRNA from 1 species